rnacentral:rRNA from 2 species
GACGAACCGUACGAACGUUAUUCGGAUUUACUGGGCUUAAAGGGUGCGUAGGCGGCGCGGAAAGUUGGGUGUGAAAUCCCUCGGCUUAACCGAGGAACUGCGCCCAAAACUACCGUGCUCGAGGGAGACAGAGGUGAGCGGAACUUAGGGUGGAGCGGUGAAAUGCGUUGAUAUCCUAAGGAACACCAGUGGCGAAAGCGGCUCACUGGGUCUCUUCUGACGCUGAUGCACGAAAGCUAGGGUAGCGAACGGG